rnacentral:rRNA from 1 species
UACGGGGGGGGCAAGCGUUGUUCGGAAUUACUGGGCGUAAAGGGCUCGUAGGUGGCCAACUAAGUCAGACGUGAAAUCCCUCGGCUUAACCGGGGAACUGCGUCUGAUACUGGAUGGCUUGAGAUUGGGAGAGGGAUGCGGAAUUCCAGGUAUAGCGGUGAAAUGCGUAGAUAUCUGGAGGAACACCGGUGGCGAAGGCGGCAUCCUGGACCAAUAUUGACGCUGAGGAGCGAAAGCCAGGGGAGCAAACGGG